CAGAGAUGUAAUUAAGCUCCACCUGGCCACACCUGCACUUCACUUUGAGUUGAUGAAGCACAAGGUGUCCAUUUUCUCCCAUGUGCGCAGUGGUCUUCUAACAUUGUCUGAGUAAAAAUGCUGGUCCAGGUAAAGUACAGUCAACUGCAAAAGUAUGUGAAGUUGGAUGAAGUUGAAGGACGGUUUGACUUUCUGCAGUUCAAUGAAAUGUCAUAGAGAGAUUUUGCCUGCCACCUGAUGCAAAAGUUACAUACAAGAAUGCAACAGGGACAGAAGUUGAUGCUGAGAUAUUCAGAGACCAAGUUGGACAGGGCAACGUCGUGUUGACAGCUUUCUCAAAUGAUGGUGAGGUUUAAAGACAGGAAUAAGCAAGCACUACAUCCUGCAGAAUACAAUUAUUUAGCCUACUUAAUGUUUAACUUUUUUCAUAGUGCUAAUUUAACUCUAGAAAGUGUGGACCUAUUUAAUCUCCGAAAGGGUGUUGAAGUUGACUCUGACAGAGUUAAUUCAACACCAGU